rnacentral:rRNA from 1 species
AGUGAACGCUGGCGGUAGGCCUAACACAUGCAAGUCGAACGGCAGCACAGUAAGAGCUUGCUCUUACGGGUGGCGAGUGGCGGACGGGUGAGGAAUACGUCGGAAUCCUCUUUUUCGUGGGGGAUAACGUAGGGAAACUUACGCUAAUACAGCAUAAGGCCUACGGGUGAAAGCAGGGGAUCUUCGGACCUUGCGUGAUUGAAUGAGCCGAUGUCGGAUUAGAUAGUUGGCGGGGUAAAGGCCCACCAAGGCGACGAUCCGUAGCUGCUCUGAGAGGAUGAUCAGCCACACUGGAACUGAGACACGGUCCAGACUCCUACGGGAGGCAGCAGUUGGGAAUAUUGCACAAUGGGCGCAAGCCUGAUCCAGCCACACCGCGUGAGUGAAGAAGGCCUUCGGGUUGUAAAGUCCUUUUGUUGGGAAAGAAAAACAGCAGGUUAAUACCCCGCUGUUCUGACGGUACCCAAAGAAUAAGCACCGGCUAACUUCGUG